CACCUGGUAGCUGCCCCUCUACCAUCUCCUUGUGUAGGACUCCAGACCAACCAGACCACCACAGUAAACAACCCAAUAAGGUUGCGACGUAACUAGGAUAAGGGCAGGUCAGAGGUUACCUAAGGCUUCCAGUAGCUACAAAACAAGAUUUUUAGUGGGAGAUUGUAUGGCUACCGGUGAUUGAAGCACUUUGUCUCAUCAACUUCCUUUCCUUUCUGAAGGUUUACCCUGGGAGUUUUCAUGCAUCCUCCUUUCUCAGCCAUGUCAGCCUUUCUCUUCAGCGGUUCACUUUGCUACCUUUCUCCUCUGCACCCUUCCUUAAUCCUCUUUCAGGACUCAGCUCAACUCUUAGUCCUCAAAGAAUCAUCCUGUCUUUCCCUUGUGCCCUUGGUGGAUGCUGAACAUUCUUCUGUCAAAACCUAUAGUAUUUUAGAACAUUUAUUUGCUUACAUUUUUUACUUCCUCAAUUGACUGAAACUCCUUAGGGUUGGCACCAAUCCUGUGCUUCAAAUGCUUAGUACCAAGUUUAGAAAGUGACUUAAGUUGGAACACCUAAAAUAUUUUACUAGGAUUUCAACCUCACUAUUUUCAAAAGAAUUUGAGGCAGUUAAUUAUAAGUAUACUGACAGAAAUAAAAUAGAGUAUAUUUACUUCAUGUGUGUCUAUCUGGAUUCUAGUGAAGUCAAUAAAUUUUGUGCCUGCCUAUAUGGGGUAGUACACUAUCUACCUCCCAUUAACAUUUUUGAAAUUCCCUUUACUACCCAGCUACAGAAUGAACAGAAAUACAGAGUUAGGAGAAACCAAAUUCAGGAAAAGGAAAAAACAAAUGUGAACACUUUCAGAAGAUCUGAAAAAAAGUACCAGCCAUUUACUAAAAAGCUUGAACUGUACUCAAAAUAUUAAAACCCACUGGCUUCCCAGUAAUUCCUGAACUAACUAGUUAAACUUAUUACUUAUAAAAAAUAUGCUCCCCAAAGCCUAAGAAAACAGUGAGCUCAAGAAGUCAUGGAUGAAUUACAUUUCUUUUUCAAUCAAAGUUAAAAACUAAAAAGGGUGUUUCAGUUACCCUGAAAUUUUAAUGAACAGGAACACAUAAUUCCCUGAGUAUUUUAGAUAAGAUACUACUGAGCAUUUUAGAUACUGAUAUUGCUGAAUUCCAAAUAUACUUCAAAGAGCAUUUCUAAGGGAAUCACUUGAACUGCAAUUUUUUAAAAAGUAGCAGCAUAUAGAAUGAAGGAGCCAUAGUGAUCAGUUAAAUCUUACCUUUUAAAGAUAAAACCAAAAAUACUGGCUGUUGCUUGGUCACAGAUUUCUACACUAUUCUUCUAGAAAUGUUUUAUGUUUCAUCAUUUCUUUAUACUCUAUUAUCCCACAUACUAGAUUGCAUGUGUCUCAUCAGGUCAUUGUUCCAAGCACAGCUUCUAUUUCAGGCUUGUGACUGAUCCAUGGUUCAUUUUUGGAUCUCUGACUUAAUAUUCUUGAUCCUUAGCUUCCUUUUUAGGAAUGUAAUUACUAUUGCUUAGAUCUCAGUGAGGCUUAAUCAAUGUUUACAAAGUAGAGGACUAGCUAGAAAGCCAUCACCACAGAAACUUAGUAGUGUAGCUAAUAAAUCUCAAAAUUAUUGGCUUUGCUACUGACUCAGAAGGUGACUCAAUGCACCAUCAAAUCCAAAAGCACUAAGACAACAACUUAGAGUGAGCUAUGAAGUGCUCUGAAAGAAAAUUUUUUUAGGUUAUAGCCACAGUAUAAAUAGAUGCUAUUUCAAUGUAUUUUUUAAUUAACUGCAACAUUCAAAUGGAAAAUAACUAGCAGAGAAAACUGAGUUUGGUGUGAGUGAUUUACAGCCACCAAGAUCACACAAGUGACUGUGCAUAAGUGGAUACAAGAUCACAUGGCCCCAAAACCAGGACCCGUGGCUGCUUGGCCCCCAGGACUUCUAUCUUUGGCAUUUCCAUAUGAGGGCACCUGGGAACAAGCAGCAGGGCUGGAAAGCCAGACUGUUACUAAGUCUGGCAUCACAGUAACCCCACGCUCCUUCCCAACCCUGGUGUGCAAAUUUGCUCAUUAAGACUGACCAAAGCAGGAUCCUCUUAAUGGAACCCUCUCUGAUACCUUGAGCUGAAACAUGCAAAAGGAUCCAAGCAAUGACCUUGAGGCCUAGCCACUAGCUUCUCCAGCUCCCUUUGUGCCCUCUGAGCCUCUAAUGUUGGAAGUAGAUUUCUGGCCACAACAUGAAACACGGGAUACUGGGAGGAGCAGCAACGCUGAUUGAAAAGUAAGGAGCAGAAAAUUUACCGAACAAGAAUUCAAGAAGGAAAGUAGGGAGAGCAGAGAGAAUGUGGGAGGAUGGGGAGAAGGAGGAUGGAAGGAAGGAAAGAUAAAACAAAUUAACCUAGAAGUUCCAUCCAUCUCAAAGAUGAAUUACGUUAAACAUGGGGCUGAAGGAGCUCUGAGGAAUGGCCCCCGACCUACACUGGCCAGUGGGGUGGGGGGUGGGGAGGCACUGGUAUCAGCUGAGGAGCACAGUGCUCAGCUGCGUGGAACAGGACACCUGGAGACCCUCUGUUUCAGACACCAGGCUAUGUGAGCACCCAGGGCCACUUCUGGGGUUGGGGGUGACGGUGCCAAGCUACCAACAGGUGGUGUGAGUCUUUGAAAUCCUCCUUGCUCCCUUUAUACAAAACACCUUCUUGUCUUCCCUUCCCACCUGGGCAACCCCAGAUGGAAGAAGCAAGUGCAUGGAAGCCAGCUAAGUGUGAAUGUGUGUGUGUGGAAAGGAGGCGGGAACUAGCAUCUUUCCUGGGCAUGGGCUCAUUAGUGUUGAUUCUGGGGAGGCUAGAUGUUCAAGGAUCAAAACUCUUAUUGUAUGUGACAAAAAGUUUAUCUUCUGCCAUGUUCUUCACAUGCUUCCACGAAUCCUUAAGGUCUGCUCGCCUUCCCUGCACAUCCACACUGGCCGCCCUCUGUGCCCAGGAACAGCAUGGAGCCAGGCUGCGGCUCAGCUCUCAGGCAGUCACCUCUCGCUGGGGUGUGACCACCCUCCCAGGCUGCUGCCAGGCUUCUCAUUCUGCUUUCCUCCAGCCACCGACACAUGUCCAUCCCUGAAUCCCCCAGGGCACCACAAAGAUCAGAAGGCUUGGGAUGACAGAAAAGAAUAAGAAUAUAAAAAAUAAUAUUUUCCCCAAAACCUCCUUCAGGUUUCGUGGGUUCUGCAUUGCUUAGUAUUAAAAUUUUUUGCUUUCCUUGGCUCCUAAUACCAUCUGUGGAAUCAUGGGGGACAGAUCCAGAUCCCUUUAUCUAAAGAGAAGGCUUGGGGCCUCUGCAGAUUGCUGUCAACCUGACCACAUUCUGAUUUGGAUCUGCCAACAUCGAGAGAAGGAGAGAAUCAAGAAGUACAGAGAAGCUGAGAAGCAAGGGGAUGAGAAAGAUCUGGUAUGAAACAUCAGCACUGUGCUCUAUGACUCAGAAUCGUCUCCUAAUAGUAACAUUCUAUCUUUAUUUUAUGUAUAUAGCAACUUUUCUCCAUAAUAAGUUAUCUUCUUACAAGAAAAACUGAAGGACUCUGAGUGGAAAAUUUAACCAAGCUGCAAUUUUUGUAACAUGAGGCCAUACAGGAGGUUCUUUUACAGAAAGAUACUAGGCCUGCCUUAUUCCUAAAGGAAAAAGAACAUGGUGAAACUGCCUUGUUUAUUGAGACUGCUAAGAUAAUAAAUUGAUGUUAUGAGUCCCAUU